rnacentral:lncRNA from 1 species
GGACAAGGGUAUUUGAAGGAUGAGUAAGAGUUCACCACACAAGAAAGGGUGGAACAGAGAAAGCUCCACCCAGAAAGUGCACAAGGCAUGGAACAAAAGCAGAGUGAUGCAAGACAGUGUAUCUCCGGAACUGCAAGCAUUUUGGUAAGGUGGAAGCAGAAGUGUGUGUGAAGGAAGAAUGUAGGAUGAGUUGAGAGGGGUAGGAGACAGAUCAUCUAAAAGAGCCUCAGGAUCAAAAGAAGCUUUAGAGUCUUUCCUGUUGCUAUCGACCCAUUGAGAUCGGCUCUGCAGCCAGAGGCCUCGCUGUGAUCCGCCGAACGCCAGGGAUUAGUGAAGAUUCCACAAGAGAUUUGAACAGUACCCAUCUCAAUGUAGGUUGCUGCAAGGUUUGAUGCUUUAAUGACAUCAUGAAGGACCCAGCCAUUCCAUCUCUCUGCUUUGCAUUCCUCAAUGUGUCAGCUUUGUGCCAGAGUCACAAGACGGCUACACUCCUCCAGGCAUUGUAUGCAGAUAUAACGACAUACCCCAAAAGAAGAGAAGACUUCUCCAGAAGCCUCCCAGGAGACCUUCACACAUGGCUUAUUAGAUCAGAGCCCCUCCUUAAACCAAUCACUAAAAAGGAAAAUGGAAUUGCCAUGAGUGGCUCAGCAAAAUCAUGAUUUACCCCUGGAUGGGAAUCAGGGUCACCUUCAAAGAGCAUAUGGACAUGUGAAGGAGCAUAAACACAAUCACAAAAUUGGGGCUCCCACCAUCGGUUGCAGAGGCAGUCGGCAGUGUCUGCUACAAGUGACAUCAAGUAGCAUCUAUCAAGUGGCAUUACUUUAACAAAUAUUAACAAUAGGGUCCUCAUCUCAGUUUAGAAGAAAAAUCCAAAAUCAAAGUAGACUGAAGAUAAGGUAAACGGUGAUGUUUGCCACACUAGUGGUGAGGUUUUCAUAGUUUUACCCAAACCAGUUUUUAUUUUUAGUGCUUGGUUGGGGUCACUGAAACUUCCAGGUUGUCCUAACCUGUUAAAAUCUUUUAAAACAUUAUUUGUGACUGUUUCUCUUUGGACAGUGCUUUUUGUUAAUCACAAAAAACAGGGUAGAAGGUAAUAACACAUGCAAAGGGAUGUGUAGCAAUCAAAGGGAAAUGUUAUCCUUCCUAGGAGACAGGAUUUAUGGGAUUCCUGGAUCUUUUUUGUGUCUGAUUGUUAAGGUCUUGACAGCCUUUCAAUUGAGGAAUACGGUCGUGUCUGUUAAACUAAUUGUAGCUGUUCACUCCACUAUAUAAUUUUACAACAUUUCAGCUUCAAAUAGAAUGGCUUCAAUAAACAUAAAGCAGACUGACACAUCCCAGAUUUCUGCAGUUUAUUUUACACCAAGAAAUUACAUUUAGAGAUUUCCAGACACAUACUAUAAAUGAAAAUUCAACAGGAAGUUUCUUUCAUUUCCUCUAGAUCUGACCUAUAUUUCAAAAAUAUAUGAGUGGGCUAUAACCAGGAACUUCUUCUCUUGCUCCCAUUAUUCACACCGUUUUCUGAAGAGUUUUUUUCUCGUCCGCGACUCUAAUGGCCAUUAAGGGAAUUGCAGACAUUGGAAGACUAUACAACCCUAAGUGAAAUGAGUGAAAUGAUAAAUGUUAUCCACAAGAUGGCCAAAUUGUAUGGUUCUGGGCUACCUAUCUCCAUCAGAUUAACUAGAAAAGCUAGACCUCCUCGUGCUUUUAGCAUGAAAUAGACAACACUCAUCCUUUUCCAUUUAUACAAC